GUUCCCCUUCCACUUCUCCGCCAUGUUGAGACACAGCCAGGGGGUCCUCACCAGCAACAGCACAGGCUGCUGGGACCACAACCGUGAGACAAGUGAACCUCUUCCCUGGAUGAGCCUCAGGUAUCUUUUUAGAGCAACAGAAAUGCACCAGGAAGGAAGCCUCCUGCUGCAGCUUCCCGCCAGCUGGGACAGUCUUUUGACCAUUCUUUGAACUGGACCUUGGAUCGCUGUGUUUCUGAUUGAUCACCCUAAUGCAGACCAGAGCCCAGGGGGACCCAGAGAUGUGGCAGGGCUCCACCUUCUCACCUCCAGUGUGUUCUGCACUUUGCCCACUGGGUUGGAGCUGGUGGCCCCUUUCUACCCAGGACUUCAUCUCUUC